rnacentral:rRNA from 1 species
AGGGAAUAUUGCGCAAUGGACGAAAGUCUGACGCAGCCACGCCGCGUGAGUGAAGAAGGCCUUCGGGUUGUAAAGCUCUGUCAUUCGGGAAAAACGGCUAUUGGGGGAAAGUUCCAGUAGCGUGAUGGUACCGAAGGAGGAAGCACCGGCAAACUCUGUGCCAGCAGCCGCGGUAAUACAGAGGGUGCAAGCGUUGUUCGGAAUUACUGGGCGUAAAGCGUGCGUAGGCUGUAUUGAGAGUCAUAGGUGAAAUCCCCAGGCUUAACCUGGGAACUGCCCGUGAGACCUCAGUACUAGAGUGUGAGAGAGGAUCGUGGAAUACCUGGUGUAGCGGUGAAAUGCGUAGAGAUCAGGUGGAACACCGGUGGCGAAGGCGGCGAUCUGGCUCAUAACUGACGCUCAGGCACGAAAGCGUGGGUAGCAAACAGGAUUAGAUACCCUGGUAGUCCACGCCGUAAACGAUGCAUACUAGACGUAGUGGAAUUCACUUCUGCUGUGUCGAAGCUAACGCGAUAAGUAUGCCGCCUGGGAAGUACGGUCGCAAGACUAAAACUCAAAGGAAUUG